rnacentral:rRNA from 1 species
AUUGAACGCUGGCGGCAGGCCUAACACAUGCAAGUCGAGCGGAGCGGCGGACGGGUGAGUAAUGCCUAGGACUCUGCCUGGUCGUGGGGGAUAACGUCCGGUAACGGGCGCUAAUACCGCAUACUAUCAGAUGAGCCUCGGUCGGAUUAGCUAGUUGGUGGGGUAAAGGCCUACCAAGGCGACGAUCCGUAACUGGUCUGAGUGGAUGAUCAGUCACACUGGAACUGAGACACGGUCCAGACUCCGACGGGAGGCAGCAGUGGGGAAUAUUGGACAAUGGGCGAAAGCCUGAUGCAGCCAUGCCGCGUGUGUGAAGAAGGUCUUCGGAUUGUAAAGCACUUUAAGUUGGGAGGCGUUACCAACAGAAUAAGCACCGGCUAACUUCGUGCCAGCCGCCGCGGUAAUUC